CACAGGUGGCAAACCGGCAUCAGCCCCUAUAGUACAUAUAACUCACUCUCCACCGUAACAACACUUUCACUUUCACUGUCUCCACUCAUUCCGAUUCUGCAACGGACUCUUGCAAUCUCUCCGAAACCUUAAUAUUCAUCCAAUCCAUGGCUUCUCGAUGGAAUGGGACUCCUGUUUCGUUUUUCAUUUACUCUUCUCCUUCUCCUCAACCUCGAGAGGAAGAAGAAGAACAAGAACAAAUUAAAAUUGAGAGUCCGAAGAGUGUUAUUCCCGAUUUGUUUUUCUCAUCUCGAGAACAACAGCAAAAAAUUGGGAGUCCAUUUACUCCUGUCAACGCUCCUAAAAUCAUGAAUCCUCAUUUGUCGAUCUCUGCUGAUCGGUUCCGAUUUCGGGUGCCUUCGACAACAGAUGAUGAUGUAGUGCUUCAAAAUCUUCUCCAUAUCAUUCACUACAUUAUCAAUAAGAGGAAAUCAUCAUCAUCAUCCUCAUCCCUCACACCCGCUCAGAAACUCUUCAACUCGCUCGAUCUUGUUCAGAAAAAGGUCACGCAGCAAUUGGAGAGAAUUAAGGAAACCCCCACUUUUCAGAUGGGGGUUAGAGAUGAGAAAAUUCGAACUUUGAUGUCUAUGCGCUGAUUCUUAUUCUUAUUACCCACACACCCACACACACUACAUAGUCUAGAUUAAGAAUGGUAGUUUGACAUUACAUUCAAUUGUGAAUACCUGGUUUGGUUUUUUAUUUUCAAAAAGUUAUUAUAUUUUAGAGAUUAAUUUCGUGUGUUUGGGCAUGCUGAUAUUGAUCUUAUUUUGUAGGUUCAGAAAAGUGCUUGUGACCUACGAAUCUUAGUAACUUCUUAUUUUUAGCAACAUGUGUUUUUGUAUGUUACCUUAAUGCACUCACAUGUACAAGUUGGGUUGAUAUCUCAACAUUUAUGUCAAGUAUGGGAUUUAAAAGUUAUGAACUUGUGUUGUUUGGGUGUUUGUGUAUUAGGAUGAAUUGUGGGGCCCAAAGUGAAGGGAAUGCAUCAAAGUUUAGCUCCCCAAUCUGCCAUGAAUUCAACUCAUUUGUGACUUUACAUUCAUCUCAAGUUAUUUAGGAAUCUAAAGUGAGUUUUAUAUCUUGUUAUUGCUGGCUCUUGAUCUGGUUUCCUAACCCUUUAUGGGGCAGGUUACACUGGCCAAUUUUGGACAUACCCAAUUCAAAGUGACCCAAACUUUGGACAUUGAUAAGUCUAGCUUGGUCUGCCCUUUAAAAUUUCAGGCUCAAAAUGAUCAUCAAAAGUCUCAUCUUCAGUGCUUACGUUAUCUUUAUAUCACUCUCCUAAUCAACAAACUAAUGCUUAUUGGUUUUAUCUCCUUGCUGGUGCAAAUCAGUUAGCAGGCUUGUUUAGUCCAGUUUUCUUUGGUUGUAUGUUUUCAUUGGUUGAAUAGGAUACUAGUGAUCUUCUAUAAUUAAUUUGGCUCUAUUUAUCUUACAUGUGAAACUUAUUGAAUGUUUGACAGUUAUGCUCUGUAUUGACUACCUAAUGGUGUGUUCAGCACUGAGGUGAGAGGCAGGGGGUUGAGGGAAUAUUUUUUGAUGAUCUAAACCGCUAUGAUGAAGAUGAUCUAAACCACUGAAUGUGCCAAUUCUGUGGUUCCUGCUUACAUUCCAAUCAUA